GCGGAAGUAGCUCAUCUGGUAGAGCGAUAGCUUCCCAAGCUAUAGGUGGCCGGUUCGAGCCCGGUCUUCCGCU
rnacentral:tRNA from 1 species